rnacentral:rRNA from 1 species
UACGUAGGGGGCAAGCGUUGUCCGGAAUUACUGGGCGUAAAGCGCGUGUAGGCGGUUAAUUAAGUCAGAUGUGAAACCUUAAGGCUCAACCUUAAGCAUGCAUCUGAUACUGGUUGACUUGAGGACAGGAGAGGGAAGUGGAAUUCCUAGUGUAGCGGUGAAAUGCGUAGAUAUUAGGAGGAACACCAGUGGCGAAGGCGACUUCCUGGCCUGUAACUGACGCUGAGACGCGAAAGCGUGGGGAGCGAACAGGAUUAGAUACCCUGGUAGUCCUAGCCGUAAACGAUGGAUACUAGGUGUGGGUGUCGCAGGGCAUCCGUGCCGCAGUUAACGCGUUAAGUAUCCCGCCUGGGGACUACGGUCGCAAGACUGAA